UACGGGGGGGGCAAGCGUUGUUCGGAAUUACUGGGCGUAAAGGGCUCGUAGGCGGCCAACUAAGUCGGAUGUGAAAUCCCCAGGCUUAACCUGGGAACUGCAUCCGAUACUGGAUGGCUUGAAUUCGGGAGAGGGAUGCAGAAAUUCCAGGUGUAGCGGUGAAAUGCGUAGAUAUCUGGAGGAAUACCGUGGCGAAGGCGGCAUCCUGGACCGACAUUGACGCUGAGGAGCGAAAGCUAGGGGAGCAAACGGG
rnacentral:rRNA from 1 species